GACUUAAAGUCGUAACUUUGGAACAUCCAACUUCUUUUUAAAUAAAUAAACACACAAAAUUAUCCAAACAUUUAAAAAAGGAUGGAAACUUCCCUCUAGGCAAAAAAUUAAAUUUUUCUUUUUUCGAUGCUUUUUAAUAAGCCCUUUAAACCCGAACCUCCAGUGGAAUGGUUCACUAACCAUUCUUCCAUUUCUAUACGAAUUUUGCUUAACUCCUCCGUCAUUGGCAAGUUCUCUUCAGAAACGUGCAAUGUGGGAUUCAAUAGUAAAUCAAACAAUCGAUGCCACAAAUCCUGGUUCCAGUAGCGUUUCAUUCUUUGCGUCAGUACCUGUCGUCUUUGACCAUUGAUUACCUCUAUCCUAGUUUCAAUGUAUUGACCAAACAACAUGGUAUAGAUAAUCGCAGCUAACCCAUGAUAAUCAAUUUGGUAUGUCCAUGGCCUGCCUUCACGCAUCUCAAUGCAAUCUUGUAAAUCAGUAUCCCAAUCGGCUAUAAAUUUGACUUUUUCUUCAAACAAAGAAAGAUCAAUGCCACGUCCAAAGUCUAUCAGGUAAAUCCCUUUAAAAGACCAACCAUACAAACCCUCCGGAGAAUAUAUCGGAGACCACUCAGAGUCUGCAACGGUUUCUAGACGAAGAAGUGCAUUAUCUGCUUUCAAAUCGCCGUGAAUAAUUUUAUGGGUAUGCAGGGCUUCAAUUAUGCGCAAAAAUUCAAUGGAGAAAAAGACAACAAGUAUUUCAUCCAUACCCGAAGAUGAAAAGGUGGAAUUAUGCAUACUGUUUACUAAAUCCAAUAUGGACCCUUGCGGACGAUAGUCCAUCAAUAAAUGACUAGUAUCAUGAAACA